ACUCACCAUUGAUUCAUGAGACCAUUAAUACCGUAAUUAUCUAGCCAGGAACCUCAGGCUUGCAUGUUAUCUAUGUACUAUAUAGAGGCCUCAAGAAACCUCAGUCUCAUGCACCCCUUGCCACUUUCUCGUCUCCACAUAGACUAGUUAGCUUUUCUUUCUAGAAGCUGUAGUAUUAGCUGCUGCAUUGAGAUUUUUGUAGAUAUGGCUACUGAUCAAUUUAAGGAUAUUGAAAAUGGUAUUAGUCAUAACAAUAUUCUGGAGGAUUUGGAGAAGCCCUUUAUUCAGAAUGGAAAAAUGGUCGUUUCUGAAGACAGUUCACCAGAGGCAGAUAAAGAAAAUGGUUCAAUUGCCAUGGUGCUGUUGAGCACAUGCGUAGCUGUCUGCGGUUCCUUCGAGUUCGGAUCGUGUGUGGGAUACUCAGCACCUACUCAAUCUGCUAUCAGGGAAGAUUUGAAUCUAUCUCUAGCAGAGUUCUCUAUGUUUGGUUCUAUAUUAACAAUUGGCGCUAUGAUCGGAGGAAUCACAAGCGGCAGAAUUGCAGACUUCGUUGGCCGGAAAGGGGCAAUGAGAAUAUCAGCUGUCUUCUGUGUCAUUGGAUGGCUUGCAGUCUAUUUUUCUACGGGUGCUUUGAUCCUGGAUUUUGGAAGGUUCUGCACGGGAUAUGGGAUUGGAAUAUUUUCUUAUGCAGUCCCCGUGUUUAUAGCUGAAAUAGCUCCAAAGAAUCUUCGAGGAGGUCUAGCAACCAUAAAUCAGCUCAUGAUUGUUUCCGGUUCAUCAGUUGCAUACUUGCUAGGAACCGUCGUAUCAUGGCAAACUCUAGCCCUGACCGGUAUUCUUCCAUGCAUUGUCCUGUUUGUGGGCCUAUUCUUCACCCCUGAGUCACCUAGAUGGCUGGCAAAUGUUGGUCGAGAGAAAGAUUUUCUGGUUGCCUUGAGGAGGCUUCGUGGCAAAGAUGCUGACAUUACUCGCGAAGCUGCAGAAAUUGAAUGGCAGGCUUAUAAUGUUACUCUUCGAAGCCUUCCAAAAUCUCGAAUGCUGGAUUUGUUCGACAGAAAAUACAUACGUUCUGUAAUGAUUGGUGUGGGACUAAUGGUAUUCCAACAGUUCAUUGGAAUAAAUGGAAUAAGUUUCUAUGCUAGCGAAACCUUUGCAGAAGCUGGGCUUUCUUCGGGUAAGACAGGAACAGUGGCCUAUGCCAUAGUCCAGGUACUCCUAACCGUUGUUGGAGCCUUGUUGAUGGACAAAUCUGGAAGAAGACCGCUUCUAAUGGUGUCAGCAUCAGGCACAUUCAUUGGCUGCUUCUUGACUGGUGCUUCUUUCUAUCUCAAGGGCCAGAAUUUAUUGCUUGAAUGGGUGCCAUUGCUUGCUGUCUCUGGAGUACUGAUUUACAUAGCAGCGUUCUCAAUUGGAAUGGGAGCUGUCCCAUGGGUGAUAAUGUCAGAGAUUUUCCCGAUAAACGUGAAGGGUGCUGCUGGAAGCCUGGUGGUGCUGGUGAACUGGAUAGGUGCUUGGGCAGUUUCCUUCACUUUCAACUUUCUCAUGAGCUGGAGUUCCACAGGGACAUUCUUCAUCUAUGCUGGAUUCUGUGUUCUUACUGUACUGUUUGUGGCAAGAUUAGUGCCAGAAACCAAGGGUAAAACACUGGAGGAGGUUCAGGCCUCCAUUAACGGAUAGAAUUGGUAGAUCAUUGUAUUACUUGAUGAGGGUUCAGACAUCUGAGUGAGAUUUCAGCAAAAUUUAUCAUCACAUAUGAUCAGAUUUUAUAGUGAGCAAAAGUCGAAGCAAAAUUUACAUCAUGCAACAAAGCUGGCCGAAAUCUCCUUCUUGACAAAUGCAUAUUUCAGCUCCUGGCAAUAAUGGUGAACAACCAUGUUACUGGAAUUUGCAGGAAGUGUUCCAGCAUUCUGAGAUUUCGACAGAACACAAUAGCAGGAUGGCACGCAAGGCAUUAAGCCAUCAACCGAACAAGGAUUCAUCAUGCGCUACACGGGUGGUCUUUCUCAUGAUCUCAUCAUCCCAUGAAUAAUUCAGCAUGUGGGAUGGAGAAUCUUGAAUGGGCAGCUCAGUUCUGAAUUUUUCUCAGGGAGCCAGCACUAGUCCAGCCCAGUCUUGAGUUAUCGACGAGUGGGCUGAUUUUGAGAACAAUCGAAAAAUUCAAAGCACAGAAAAAGGAAAAAAAGGAAAAAUGUUAUAUGCUCACACAUUUCAGAAUUCUUUUA